CAGAAGUGCAAAAAUGAAGCAGCUUUUAUGUUACCCAAGAGAUAAUGCAUCACUGCCAUGAAUCAGCAGGUUUAGAAGUUGCAGGAUUCAUCAUGAAACUGCAGUUUUAAGAUGAAUGAAAACAAGUUCACCUUUCUUUGUUCUUGUAGCUUAUAGCAAGUAAGCAAAUCAGGAUUUGGUGUUUAGCUGACAGUAAUGGAAGACUAUGGAAUCUAACUUCACAUUUGAAGGCUUGGUUUACAUAUUGUGCAACUGUUUCCUGAAUCUGCAACACAAUACAGCAAAAGAAAAACUGGAACCUCACAAGAUCAGAAGAGGACCGAUAUUUACAGAAAUCAUUUACCAUCCCAUCUACAGCUCCCACACAUGACAAGCUCAAAGAAUCUCAUCCUCAUCUUCAGUCUCACCUCUGUGCUGUUGUAGUAAUGGCAUCCACUAUCUCCAUGAUUCUGUGUAGAGCAGAAUCAGUCCCAAUUG